AGAACGAACGCUGGCGGCAUGCCUAAUACAUGCAAGUCGAACGAACUCUUCGGAGUUAGUGGCGCACGGGUGCGUAACGCGUGGGAAUCUGCCCUUGGGUUCGGAAUAACAGUUGGAAACGACUGCUAAUACCGGAUGAUGACGAAAGUCCAAAGAUUUAUCGCCCAGGGAUGAGCCCGCGUAGGAUUAGCUAGUUGGUGAGGUAAGCUCACCGAAGGCGACGAUCCUUAGCUGGUCUGAGAGGAUGAUCAGCCACACUGGGACUGAGACACGGCCCAGACUCCGUACGGGAGCAGCAGUAGGAAUAUGGACAAGUGGGACGAAAGCCUGAUCCGAGACA
rnacentral:rRNA from 1 species